ensembl:lncRNA ZNF337-AS1 ZNF337 antisense RNA 1
GGAAACGUGUGUCGGCGCCGCCGGAUGCGGCGACUUCUCAGUGGCUGUGGCUGGCGUUGGUCCGAAGCGUGGUGUUCUUCCCUGGUGUCUUUCUGCUUAUCUCUUUCCUCCCUGGGCCCUCCGGCGCGAGGGACCGUCAUCACCUCCCCGAGAGAGGUUGUCCGCGCUGCCAGGCGCUGGGCAGCAGGCUCUCCGGGUGGCCGGGCGGGCGGCGCGGAGACGUCGGCGGGCCUGAUGUCUGCCUUGAGCGCCCGCGGUCCUAGCCUGCCUGUACGCGCAGGUCACUGUAGAAUGGCACCAUUGUUGUGCGGAUGCUGAUGCCCAGCGUUGAGCCUGUCGUCUCCUAUAUUAGGGGAAGUUCUCCUGGCCCUUCCCAACUACCUCCCCUGUGCAAGUUUAUUACAACUGAACGGCCUCAAGGAUGAAGUCUGGCUCUGUUGCCCAAGCUGGAGUGUGUUGGCACCAUCUUGGUUCACUGCAACUUCCACCUCCCAGGCUCCAGUGAUUCUCCUGCCUCAGCCUCAAGGGUAGCUGAGAUUACAGGCUGGAGUGCAGUGGCAUGAUCUCACCUCACUGAGAACCUCCACCUCCAGGGUUCAAGUGAUUCUGCUACCUCAACCUCCCAAAUAGCUGGGACUACAGGGUCUCAUUCUGUCACCCAGGUUGGAGUGCAGUGGCAACAUCAUAGCUCACUGCAGCCUUGAACCCCUGGGCUCAAGUGAUCCUCCUGCUUCAGCCUCCUGAGUAGCUGGGGCUACAGGCACUUUCCCUACAUUUUCAAAGGCCUGCAUCAUCACAUCUGCCACAGCAUUCUCUAUCAUUGAGGCAUUUUCUCAGGAAAUCACCUGUGAAAUAUUUUGCAGCUAACCACCUACCUGUGCCCCACCAGCCAACAUGCUUUACUCCUGCCAGGCAGGUUCUCUGUAGCCCUCUGGAUUCUGUCUGCCUCUGUUAUAUCUUCACGAACAAGUUAUGCAGCCUCAACUAAAGCUUGUAACAAAGCAAAGUUACUCUCCUGAGUGUGUCCUCUGAUGGAUGGUGAGAUAUAACUUCAAGAUGAAGCCUCACCCACACUCCCUGUACAAAAACGCUUCUCACCAGUCUCCUGUGGUCCCACUGUGAGGAGUGAGGAAAGCCAGUAAAACAGCAUGAAAAGAGAAGAGAGGAACACAGGGCCUAACUGUGAACUAAAACUGCUCCAAGAGAGAACAAGUCCACCCUAGAGGUGGAUUACCACACCUUUCCUCUUUCCCCUCCAGCCUACUUUUCCUUUUUAAACAAUGAGGCUCUCAAACUCAUCUUUGGGGAAAGCCACUGGCCUCUUUCUGUGGCAUGUCCUCAACUGUGGCAAAAUAAACAUCUAAAUUGGUACUUGACUCUGAUACUUUUUGGUUUACAUGUAGUUGGAGAAGAAAAACAGUGAAAUUUCUUCCUCUGACGGCAGUUGAAAGUGAAAGGAAAAUAAAAACGUUGGAACCCAAACCACUCUGCCAAAAGAAAAAUAUUAAGCUGAAAGCUGAUUCAUCCAAGAAGCUACCUUUCCUUUUGUUCCUAAGCGGAGAACUACAGAUAGGUUAAGUAAGGGUAAGUAUCUCUGCCGGGCGCGGUGGCUCACGCCUGUAAUCCUAGCACUUUGGGAGGCUGAGGCGGGCCUCCUCCUCGUGGUCAGGAGAUUGAGACCGUCCUGGCUAACACCGUGAAACCCGUCUCUACUGAAAAUACAAAAAAAUACAAAAAAUAGCCGGGAGUGGUGGCGGCGCCUGUAGUCCCAGCUACUCGGG